rnacentral:lncRNA from 1 species
AGUUCUGAGAAAGAAGGAAAUAAACACAGGCACCAAACCACUAUCCUAAGUUGACUGUCCUUUAAAUAUGUCAAGAUCCAGACUUUUCAGUGUCACCUCAGCGAUCUCAACGAUAGGGAUCUUGUGUUUGCCGCUAUUCCAGUUGGUGCUCUCGGACCUACCAUGCGAAGAAGAUGAAAUUAUUUCCUUAAAGCAUUUGGAACACGGGAUACUGGAUUCAUUCAGG